GGAAGGGUUGUCCUGUGGUUAGGACACUAGUCUUGGACUUGGGAGAGCUGGGUUUGAUUCCCUGCUCUGCCA
rnacentral:tRNA from 1 species